AACGCGUGGGAACAUACCCUUUCCUGCGGAAUAGCUCCGGGAAACUGGAAUUAAUACCGCAUACGCCCUACGGGGGAAAGAUUUAUCGGGGAAGGAUUGGCCCGCGUUGGAUUAGCUAGUUGGUGGGGUAAAGGCCUACCAAGGCGACGAUCCAUAGCUGGUCUGAGAGGAUGAUCAGCCACAUUGGGACUGAGACACGGCCCAAACUCCUACGGGAGGCAGCAGUGGGGAAUAUUGGACAAUGGGCGCAAGCCUGAUCCAGCCAUGCCGCGUGAGUGAUGAAGGCCUUAGGGUUGUAAAGCUCUUUCACCGGAGAAGAUAAUGACGGUAUCCGGAGAAGAAGCCCCGGCUAACUUCGUGCCAGCAGCCGCGGUAAUACGAAGGGGGCUAGCGUUGUUCGGAAUUACUGGGCGUAAAGCGCACGUAGGCGGAUAUUUAAGUCAGGGGUGAAAUCCCAGAGCUCAACUCUGGAACUGCCUUUGAUACUGGGUAUCUUGAGUAUGGAAGAGGUAAGUGGAAUUCCGAGUGUAGAGGUGAAAUUCGUAGAUAUUCGGAGG
rnacentral:rRNA from 1 species